rfam:Ictidomys tridecemlineatus contig016433, whole genome shotgun sequence.
GGGGACAAAGCUCAGUGGUAGAGCGCUUGCCUAGCAUGCAUGAAGCCCUAGGUUCCCUUCCUAGUACCACUA